CAGGAUCAGAGGAGAGACGAUCAGAGCCAAGAUCCAGAAGAACUGAACUCCCAUCCCCCGAGUCCUGCGGCAGGAAGCGCUCCUUCUCUCCAAGAACUCCUGGACCCUGCAAGCUGCUCCAGAACCAGAGUCCCAGUGAGGAGUCCAGCCAGUCCACCUCUCAGAGUUAAACUAAACUACAACGUUAUUAAAGAUCAUGUUUAAAGUUAAAAAAGGAUGCUUUCAGACUGAAUCCAGAAGUUUCUCAAGCUGCAGUCAAAGCAGGUCAUUUGAGAAAUAUAUAAAACAAUUAUAAAACUGUAAUAAGAAUUACUCUGAAUACUUUCUUUGGACAUUUUAUUUACAUUUGUUUUCAACAAAUAUUUCAAAUGUUUCUGACUUUCUAUCCGAGUGCUUUUCUCAUGAACUAUCUUCUUUCUUUUCUUGUGUAUUUCAUAAACAGGAUAUUGUUGUUUGUACUUAUACUUAGAUUUUUAAAAUAAAUAUCCCACUUCUUGUACUUAUAUCCUGAUUGAUGAGUCAGCAGUAAAGCAGCCAGGCGUUAACGGUCAGCUGGCAUGUGUAUCUGUUCAUUGGCUCAUAUGUGUAGCAUGUUUAAU